AAGGCGCGGAACUACUCAGUGGUGAAGGCUGUGCGGACACUGGGGGCCCGCCAGGGGUUUGGCCCCUUACUCAACCCAACCACGGUCCUCUCCGGCGCAGGCCGAUUUGAGGACCUAGACUCCUUGAUGCUGACGGCCUGAGGGGGCUCCCGGGUGCCGGAUAUCUGACACAGGCCAGGGAGGCUCCCCUGGGAGACCUGGCAGGCCUGGAGGUGUGAGUCGGCUCUGAGCAGCUGCUCUGGGAGAGCCAGUCCACGGAGCCAAAGCUGGAGGGCAGCUGCCGGCCACAAGUUGGGGAGGAGGAGAGACGCAAGGCCGUCAGGUGGGCCGGAGGGAAGGCUGGGCGGGGCUGGCCAGGCGCAGGAUCUACCUGGGUGAUUUUUUUAAUCUAUAAAAUAAUAUUUGCUUUUAAUUUUUAAUGUUACUAUGUUGUCAAUAUAUUGUAAAGCUUAAACUCUUUUUCCUUAAGACCACGUAAUUUGAGUUUUUUUUAAUUUUUGCCAAUUAAAAGUGAGAUUACUUUGA
rnacentral:lncRNA from 1 species